rnacentral:rRNA from 1 species
ACUUUCAACAACGGAUCUCUUGGUUCUGGCAUCGAUGAAGAACGCAGCGAAAUGCGAUAAGUAGUGUGAAUUGCAGAAUUCAGUGAAUCAUCGAAUCUUUGAACGCACAUUGCGCCCCUUGGUAUUCCAUGGGGCAUGCCUGUUCGAGCGUCAUUUGUACCCUCAAGCUCUGCUUGGUGUUGGGUGUUUGUUCCACUUGGGACUCGCCUUGAAACAAUUGGCAGCCGGCACAUUGGCCUGGAGCGCAGCACAUUUUGCGCCUCUUGUCAUGGUUGUUGGCAUCCAUCAAGACACUUUUUAAGCUCUUGACCUCGGAUCAGGUAGGGAUACCCGCUGAACUUAAGCAUAUCAAUAAGCGGAGGAAAAGAAACCAACAGGGAUUGCCCUAGUAACGGCGAGUGAAGCGGCAACAGCUCAAAUUUGAAAUCUGGCUCUUUUAGGGUCCGAGUUGUAAUUUGCAGAGGGCGCUUUGGCGUUGGCAGCGGUCCAAGUUCCUUGGAACAGGACGUCACAGAGGGUGAGAAUCCCGUACGUGGUCGCUGGCCUUCGCCGUGUAAAGCCCCUUCGACGAGUCGAGUUGUUUGGGAAUGCAGCUCUAAAUGGGAGGUAAAUUUCUUCUAAAGCUAAAUACUGGCCAGAGACCGAUAGCGCACAAGUAGAGUGAUCGAAAGAUGAAAAGCACUUUGGAAAGAGAGUCAAAUAGCACGUGAAAUUGUUGAAAGGGAAGCGCUUGCAGCCAGACUUGCCUGUAGUUGCUCAUCUGGGCUUUUGUCCAGUGCACUCUUCUACAGGCAGGCCAGCAUCAGUUUGGGCGGUUGGAUAAAGGUCUCUGUCACGUACCUCCCUUCGGGGAGGCCUUAUAGGGGAGACGACAUGCAACCAGCCUGGACUGAGGUCCGCGCAUCUGCUAGGAUGCUGGCGUAAUGGCUGUAAGCGGCCCGUCUUGAAACACGGACCAAGGAGUCUAACAUCUAUGCGAGUGUUUGGGUGUCAAGCCCGGACGCGUAAUGAAAGUGAACGGAGGUGGGAACCCUUUUAGGGUGCACCAUCGACCGAUCCUGAUGUCUUCGGAAGGAUUUGAGUAAGAGCAUGGCUGUUGGGACCCGAAAGAUGGUGAACUAUGCUUGAAUAGGGUGAAGCUAGAGGAAACUCUAGUAGAGGCUCGCAGCAGUUCUAACGUGCAAAUUAAUCGUUAAAUUUAGGCAUAGGGGCGAAAGACUAAUUAAACUAUCUAGUAGCUAGUUCCUACUAAAGUUUCCCUUAGGAUAGUAGUAACGUAUUUAGUUUUAUAAGGUAAAGCAAAUAAUUAGAGGCCUAGGGGUUAAAACAACCUUCACCUAUUCUUAAACUUUAAAUAUGUAAGAAGUCCUUGUUACUUGAUUGAACGUGGACACUUGAAUGUACCGUUACUAGUGGGCCAUUUUUGGUAAGCAGAACUGGCGAUGCAGGAUAAACUAAACACAGGGUUAAGGUGCUAGAAUGCACGCUUAUUAGACACUACAAAAGGUGUUAGUUUAUCUAGACAGCAGGACAGUAGCUAUAGAAGUUAGAAUCUGCUAAGGAGUGUGUAAUAACUCACCUGCUAAAUAAACUAGCCCUAAAAAUAGAUGGUGCUUAAGCGUGUUACCCAUACCCCGCCGCCAGGGCAAGAUUUAAGCCCUAGCGAGUAGGCAGGCGUAGAGGCUUAUAACAAAGCCUUAGGGGUAACCCUAGGUAGAACGGCCUCUAGUGCAGAUCUUAGUAGUAGUAGCAAAUACUUAAAUAAGAACUUUAAGGACUAAAGUAGGGAAAGGUUCUGUGUAAACAGCAGUUAGACACAGGUUAGUUAAUCCUAAGAGAUAGGGUAAUUCCAUUUUAAUGUUAGUGCUUACGCUGCGCCCUUAAAAGGGAAGCUAGUUAAUAUUCUAGCACCUAGAUAUAGAUUCUCCGCGGCAACGCAACUAAGAGCGGAGACCUUAGCGGGAGCCCUAAGAAGAGUUCUCUUUUCUUCUUAACAGUCUGUUACCCUAAAAUUAGUUUAUCUAGAGCUAGGGUUCAAUAGCUAGAAGAGCGCUGCACUUUUGCAGCAUUUAGUGCGCUCCUAACAAGCCUUAAAAAUCUACUUAAAGAAAUAGUUUUUACGCCAGGUUGUACUUAUAACUGUAGCAGGUCUCUAAGGUAAAAAGCCUCUAGUUAAUAGAAUAAUGUAGAUAAGGGAAGUCAGCAAAAUAGAUCCAUAACUUUAGAAAAAGGAUUAGCUCUAAGGGUUAGGUACGUUAGGCCUUAGGGAGAAGCCUCUAGCGCAGAAGGGCACUAACCGCAAGGUAGGCGCCUCUUAGCGCUAGGGUGCAGACACCCUUAGUAGGUUUUGGCUGUCUAGCGUACGUUUAAUAACUAACUUAGAACUAGUAUAGAUAAGGGGAAUCUAACUAUCUAAUUAAAAUAUAGCAUUGCAAUAGCUAGAAAGUAGUGUUAACAUAAUGUGAUUUCUGCCUAGUACUCUAAAUAUCAAAGCAAAGAG